AUUUUUUAAGAAUUUUCUGCCAUUUUUACUGUUAAAUAUCCCUUUAGAUUAGUUUUCCAAAGUUAUUUUAGCCUGUAUUCUGCUAGCACCUGAACUAAAUCCCAUCCAUCCAAUCUGUUCCAUGCCAAAAGUAGUUUGUCUCACUCUGGUUUCAACUGGCAUUAAAUAAAAGGAUGUAGAUAGAUUUCUAGAUUAUACAAAACCUGAGGCAGAGGCUGGCUAGGACUUUGAAACCCAUUUUUAUCCAGCCUUGCAUCUAGAUUAAAAGAUAUGCCUGGGUAGAGCUGGUGAGAUCCAGCAUAUGUGAGAUCUUAGGUUGUUGUUGCCACCUCAGCCAGGAAAAAGAGAUUUUAAAUGAGCUAAAGCUGCGAUUCCAAGCUCAUUAGAACUUUUAGCUUCUUUCCAGAUCAAUAGUAAUAGACUCCUACAUAAACCUUGCAAUUUUUUCUUUUCUUUUUCACCUGGAACAAAGUUCUGUGUUUUUCCCCUUUACCCUUUGUUUUUGAAGUCCUUUCCACCACGGGUGUUUUCCUGCAGAGGCACAGCAAAUCAGCCCAACUCAUCCCUCACCACCAAAUCAGUGGUAAGUCUGUUGGAAUCAGCAACAUUUCUGUUUUGAAUAAAGUUUUUAAAUAUUUAGUCUGAAGCUUGAGCACAGCACUUGUGCCACAUUCGGUGCUGACAGUCAGAGUUGGAGCAAUCCACUGACGGAAAUAAUUU
rnacentral:lncRNA from 1 species